UGGGGAAUAUUGCACAAUGGGCGCAAGCCUGAUGCAGCCAUGCCGCGUGUGUGAAGAAGGCCUUCGGGUUGUAAAGCACUUUCAGCGGGGAGGAAGGCGUUAAGGUUAAUAACCUUGGCGAUUGACGUUACCCGCAGAAGAAGCACCGGCUAACUCCGUGCCAGCAGCCGCGGUAAUACGGAGGGUGCAAGCGUUAAUCGGAAUUACUGGGCGUAAAGCGCACGCAGGCGGUCUGUCAAGUCGGAUGUGAAAGCCCCCGGCUCAACCGGGGAGGGUCAUUGGAAACUGGGAGACUUGAGUGCAGAAGAGGAGAGUGGAAUUCCAUGUGUAGCGGUGAAAUGCGUAGAUAUAUGGAGGAACACCAGUGGCGAAGGCGGCUCUCUGGUCUGUAACUGACGCUGAGGCUCGAAAGCGUGGGGAGCAAACAGG
rnacentral:rRNA from 1 species